rnacentral:rRNA from 1 species
AUUGAACGCUGGCGGCAUGCCUAACACAUGCAAGUCGAACGGCAGCACAGUCCCGCACUUAAAUUGUUUUAAGGAGGUAGAGCAAUUUAAGUGCGGGAUAGGUGGCGAGUGGCGGACGGGUGAGUAACGCGUAGGAAUCUAUCCUGGAGAGGGGGAUAACCCGAGGAAACUGGGGCUAAUACCACAUAAAGUUGAGAGAUAAAAGGCAGGGGACCCGAAAGGGCCUUGCGCUCUGGGGUGAGCCUACGUCGGAUUAGCUAGUUGGUGGGG